rnacentral:rRNA from 1 species
GACGAACGCUGGCGGCGUGCUUAACACAUGCAAGUCGAGCGGUAAGGCCCUUUCGGGGGUACACGAGCGGCGAGCGGGUGAGUAACACGUGGGUGACCUGCCUUUAGCUCUGGGAUAAGCCUGGGAAACCGGGUCUAAUACCGGAUAUGACUCCGCGGCGCAUGUUGUGGGGUGGAAAGCCUUGUGCGGCUGGAGAUGGGCCCGCGGCCUAUCAGCUUGUUGGUGGGUGAGGGCCUACCAAGGCGACGACGGGUAGCCGGCCUGAGAGGCGACCGGCACACUGGGACUGAGACA